GACGAACCGUGCGAACGUUGUUCGGAUUCACUGGGCUUAAAGGGCGCGUAGGCGGCUUGCCAAGUCAGGGGUGAAAUCUCCCGGCUUAACUGGGAGGGUGCGCCGAAAACUGCGGUGCUGGAGUGUGGGAAAGGCAAGCGGAAUUCCUGGUGUAGCGGUGAAAUGCGUAGAUAUCAGGAGGAACACCGGCGGUGUAGACGGCUUGCUAGACCAUAACUGACGCUGAGGCACGAAAGCGUGGGUAGCAAACAGG
rnacentral:rRNA from 1 species